rnacentral:lncRNA from 1 species
GUCUUCCACCCAAAUCCCUGAGUAUUUUGCUAUUAUUUGGUUACUCUGAUGAAGUCUAUAAGCAUAGACGAAAGCUUAGACCAUUAAUAAAAAGGCACAUCCUACGAAGCACCCGAGUUUUAUUUUGCUUCCUCAG